rnacentral:rRNA from 1 species
GCAGUCGAGCGAAUGGAUUGAGAGCUUGCUCUCAAGAAGUUAGCGGCGGACGGGUGAGUAACACGUGGGUAACCUGCCCAUAAGACUGGGAUAACUCCGGGAAACCGGGGCUAAUACCGGAUAACAUUUUGAACCGCAUGGUUCGAAAUUGAAAGGCGGCUUCGGCUGUCACUUAUGGAUGGACCCGCGUCCCAUUAGCUAGUUGGUGAGGUAACGGCUCACCAAGGCA